GUGUCAAUCUGUUGAGGGGAAAUGUAGUGAAUAUGUGUAUCAAUUCCACCUGCAGUCAAAAUCAAUCCCUCUCCAGCGAGAGCCUCUGUUGAUGCACCAACCGUCAUUCCCGGUGUCACACCAUCCAUGAUAUCUGGAUUUCCAGCCUUGCCAAUGCCUGCAAUCUUUCCGUCCUUAAUACCAAUAUCUGCCUUAUAAAUCCCUGUGUAAUCUAAAACCAAGCAAUUAGUGAUGACAAGAUCCAGAUCUCCAUUUGCACUUGUUGUAGUUACGGACUGUCCCAUACCAUCGCG
rnacentral:sRNA from 1 species